rnacentral:rRNA from 1 species
GACGAACGCUGGCGGCGUGCUUAACACAUGCAAGUCGAACGAAGUGGCGAACGGGUGAGUAACGCGUAAUAAACGUGCCCUUCAGAGGGGGACAACAGUGGGAAACGACUGCUAAUACCGCAUACUGAAGGAGGGGAGUGCGUAUGAUUAGCUCGUUGGAGGGGUAACGGCCCACCAAGGGGAUGAUCAGUAGCCGGUCUGGGAGGAUGAACGGCCACAUUGGGACUGAGACACGGCCCAGACUCCUACGGGAGGCAGCAGUGGGGAAUCUUCCGCAAUGGACGAAAGUCUGACGUAGCAACGCCGCGUGAGUGAUGACGGCCUUCGGGUUGUAAAGCUCUGUUAAUCGGGACGCGGUACCGGAAUAGAAAGCCACGGCUAACUACGUGCCAGCCGCCGCGGUAAUAC